rnacentral:lncRNA from 1 species
UAAACCAUUAGAUAUGCCAAAUCCAAAGGCUAAGAUUGAUUCUCUAUUCUUAAAAUACUCGCGACUGAUCCAUUCUCUAUAUAUAUAUUGAUCGUAAAUGUCAAAUGCACAAAUUAAAAUUGGUAAUUAUAACCGCUAAACCUUCCAAUGAGAUUAAAACAUCUUCAAAAAAGAGAUUCAACAGAGAGAGAGUAAAAAUAAAAAACAAUUGCCGCCAACUCUCUCUAAAAAGUAAAAACAAAAAGAAAAAAAAAACAUUAAUCUUCAUCAACCACUGCUGCUUCCAUGCGUUCUCGAUAUUUUUUUUCUUUCUUGCUUGCAUGUCCAAAAACGCAGCGGGCUGGCCCAAUCCCUCCACAUACCUAAGUAAUGAAACUAAAUCCUGCUUUUUUACCAUAUCUUUAGGGGUGAUUCUUUCAUAGGCCCCAUUUUAUUUCAGCCCCUUUUUAA